CUACGGGAGGCAGCAGUAGGGAAUUUUCCACAAUGGGCGCAAGCCUGAUGGAGCAACGCCGCGUGAGGGAUGAAGGUUUUCGGAUUGUAAACCUCUUUGAAGUGGGAAGAACGAUUUGCGGAUCAACAACCCGCAGAAGUGACGGUACCACUAAAACAAGUCACGGCUAACUCUGUGCCAGCAGCCGCGGUAAUACAGAGGUGACGAACGUUGUCCGGAAUCACUGGGCGUAAAGGGCGUGUAGGCGGUUGAUUAAGUCAGAUGUGAAAUCUCUUGGCUCAACCAGGAAAUUGCAUUUGAAACUGAUCAGCUAGAGUUCGGUAGAGGAAGGCGGAAUUCCAGGUGUAGCGGUGAAAUGCGUAGAUAUCUGGAGGAACACCUGUGGCGAAGGCGGCUUUCUGGUCCGAUACUGACGCUGAAACGCGAAAGCUAGGGGAGCAAACAGGAUUAGAUACCCCGGUAGC
rnacentral:rRNA from 1 species